rnacentral:lncRNA from 1 species
ACCUCUGAAAGAGCAAGUCACGCUCCAAAGAGGGCUGCAGACAAAAGCGUUCCAAGCCAGAUUCCUUGUUGACACUGGUCUCUGGUUACACCCUAGGCAUAAAAAGCAAGGAAGUUCUUCAAAGCCAGUGAGUGCUUCCCUACCUUUGUCUGUCCCCAGCAGAACCUCUUCCCCCACUCCACCCUCCACAGAGGGACUCACUAUAAGUUCAACAGUGCAAGUGGUGCAAGGGGAGGCAUUUUCAGGUUACACACUAUAUAUAGCUAACUUACAGUCUCAUGUUAUUCGCCUUGGCGAGGGUUGAAAGCCUUAAUACCUCCCAAGCAUGCCCUGUUGUGAGUCCCCUUUCCUUUCCAAAACCCUUCCUUGGCCCAGACCCUGGGAGUCACCUUUCUUCUUCCGGCCACUCCCCACUCAUCCUCUUUCAGCCUCAUCACAAAGCAGGGACUUUCCCAUGAGUCUAGGUCUGCCCUGGAGUUGCAGGACCACACCACGGCCAAGCAAGGCCUCUCCUUGGACCCUUGGUAGUUUCCUGAACUGUGAGUGUCCUGUUUUUUCGAGGCUGGUGUCAGAGGGAACAAAUGCAAGACCCGGAUGAAGCAUCUCCCCCACCACAUGCCAACAGCCAGUUCCGCCCCUCCGCCCGGACACCUGCCCUGUUAGCCUUGCCAUUCUUCUCAACACAACUUUCUGAAACAGGAAAAGUUCCCUUGUCCUCCUCAAAGGGUGUGUGAAGAGGGCGUGGCUCACUUCUUCGGUGCCUGCUACUCAGACCCCUAGUGGGAGCAGGCAGAUGGGCAGGUCACGGGGAGCGUGGGUUCCAACCCCACAGCAGCAUCUAGGGUUGAGUCUUUACAGCUCCUAAGCCCCAGUGGGCGUGUGUUACAGUGCGCUCUUUCAGCUUUGCUAUCUGCCGGCAGCUUGUGUUCAUCACCUCAGUUAGACCCUCUGCGUUAUCACAAGGGCAGAGGGCUUUCUGUAUCCCGGGUUCUUGCCCUAGUGCACCAGAAAAAUUGUAUCAUGUGUGGGCUUAGAGAAUGAGUGCAAGGUUUUAUUGAAUGCUGGAGGUGGCUCUCAGCAGAUAGAUGGGGAGUCAGAAGGGGGAUGGAGUGGGAAGGUGGUCUUCCCCUGGAGUCGGGCCGCUCAGCAGCCAGGCUCUCCUCCGACCACCCUCUGCGUCAUUCUGCUGUUGAUGGUCUGUCAGCGUCUAUGUGUUCUUCUGCCAGUGUGUUCCUGUCGAUGUCCAGCCACUUGUGUGUGCUUCUGCCAGUGUGUUCCUCUUGAUGUCCAGCUAUUAGUGUAUGUGCCCGCUAAGGUCUUGGGGUUUUUAUAGGCACAGGAUUGGGGGCGUGACGGGCCAGGGUGGACUUGGAAAAUGCAACAUUUGGGCAAGGAAACAGGAGUGCCUGUCCUCACCUAGGUCCGUGGGCUCAGGCACAAGGGUGGAGCCCUUGUCAGGGACCCUGCCUUUCUCUACCCAUCCCUGUACCCCUCCCAUAUCACUUCCACACAGCCCUGGACCUGGGCUAAGACAUAGCACUAUUUGCCAUUCCUAGUUGGUGCUGUGGGGUUCAUCUAGGCCAACUUUAUCAUUUUCACAGAGGAGAAGACCAAAGCCCAGAAAGUGGAAGCCAUGUGUUCAAGGUCAAAGAACCUGUUCAGGUCAGAGCUGGGGCAGGAAUCCCUGACUUAGACACCCCAACCAGGGCUCCUCUGCAGCACCUACCUCUUCACUCAUGUUCCUUGGAGUUUUUCCAUUCCUGGUUCUUGCUCUUCUUGUCCCACUUUUGAAUCUUUCUUGGAGUUACUGCUUCCAGGGUUUCCAUCCAGGCCAUUGAGAGGAUUAAAUAAGAACAGAGUAUCUCUACUAAAAAUACAA